GAGGGCACAGUGGCGCGUGCCUGUGGUCCCAGCUACUAGGUACUCAGGAGGCUGAAGGAUCGCUUGUGACCAGGAAUUCUGGGCUGUAGUGCACUAUGCAAUUGAGUGUCCACACUAAGUUCAGCAUCAGUACGGUGACCUCCAGGAAGCAGGGGACCACCAAAUUGCCUAAGAAGGAGUGAACCAGGCAGGUUAGAAACGGUGCAGUUAAAACUCCCUUGCUGAUCAGUGCUGGGAUCAUCCCUGUCAAUAAUAGCUGGAGUGUGCUCCAGCCUCGGCAACAUAAUGAGACCCCGUCACCA
rnacentral:SRP_RNA from 1 species